rnacentral:rRNA from 1 species
UUUAUGGAGAGUUUGAUCCUGGCUCAGGAUGAACGCUGGCGGCGUGCCUAAUACAUGCAAGUCGAGCGAACGGACGAGAAGCUUGCUUCUCUGAUGUUAGCGGCGGACGGGUGAGUAACACGUGGAUAACCUACCUAUAAGACUGGGAUAACUUCGGGAAACCGGAGCUAAUACCGGAUAAUAUUUUGAACCGCAUGGUUCAAAAGUGAAAGACGGUCUUGCUGUCACUUAUAGAUGGAUCCGCGCUGCAUUAGCUAGUUGGUAAGGUAACGGCUUACCAAGGCAACGAUGCAUAGCCGACCUGAGAGGGUGAUCGGCCACACUGGAACUGAGACACGGUCCAGACUCCUACGGGAGGCAGCAGUAGGGAAUCUUCCGCAAUGGGCGAAAGCCUGACGGAGCAACGCCGCGUGAGUGAUGAAGGUCUUCGGAUCGUAAAACUCUGUUAUUAGGGAAGAACAUAUGUGUAAGUAACUGUGCACAUCUUGACGGUACCUAAUCAGAAAGCCACGGCUAACUACGUGCCAGCAGCCGCGGUAAUACGUAGGUGGCAAGCGUUAUCCGGAAUUAUUGGGCGUAAAGCGCGCGUAGGCGGUUUUUUAAGUCUGAUGUGAAAGCCCACGGCUCAACCGUGGAGGGUCAUUGGAAACUGGAAAACUUGAGUGCAGAAGAGGAAAGUGGAAUUCCAUGUGUAGCGGUGAAAUGCGCAGAGAUAUG